CACGUAGGGUGCGAGCGUUGUCCGGAAUUAUUGGGCGUAAAGAGCUCGUAGGCGGUGUGUCGCGUCGGCCGUGAAAACCUGCAGCUUAACUGUGGGCUUGCGGUCGAUACGGGCAUCACUGGAGUUCGGCAGGGGAGACUGGAAUUCCUGGUGUAGCGGUGAAAUGCGCAGAUAUCAGGAGGAACACCGGUGGCGAAGGCGGGUCUCUAGGCCGAUACUGACGCUGAGACACGAAAGCGUGGGGAGCAAACAGG
rnacentral:rRNA from 1 species